AUUGAACGCUGGCGGCAGGCCUAACACAUGCAAGUCGAACGAGUGGCGGACGGGUGAGCAAUGUCUGGGAAUGUGCCUGAUGGAGGGGGAUAACUACUGGAAACUGUAGCUAAUACCGCAUACAAUCAGAUGGGCCCAGGUGGGAUUAGCUUGUUGGGGGGGUAAAGGCUAACCAAGGCGACGAUCCCUAGCUGGUCUGAGAGGAUGACCAGCCACACUGGAACUGAGACACGGUCCAGACUCCUACGGGAGGCAGCAGUGGGGAAUAUUGGACAAUGGGCGAAAGCCUGAUCCAGCCAUGCCGCGUGUAUGAAGAAGGUCUUCGGAUUGUAAAGUACUUUCAGCGGGGAGGCGUUACCCGCAGAAUAAGCACCGGCUAACUCCGUGCCAGCAGCCGCGGUAAUAC
rnacentral:rRNA from 1 species